CGACCUCAAUUUCCCCUCGCCUCUCUCCCAGCAGCCACCCUGCGAGCGCCCUUCCUAACCUCAAGCCCAAAUCUUUUAACUCAGCCGAAAUAUGCGCACAAAAGGCAGGGGGUGGCGGGGAGGAGGAGAAAGAAAAAAAAAAAAUCGUUUCCUGUUGCUUUAAUCCCUUUAGUCAGGCUUAAGUAACGUCGCCCAGGGCGUACUGGCUGGGCGCCUGGUUGCGGAGGCCGGCAACGAGAGGCCGCCGGGGGCAGGCCGGCGGCUCAGUCCCGCUCCCCCCGGCCGGGAGGCGCCGGGGCCGGGGGGCGGCGCGUCGGGGGCUGCCCGCGGGGGUUGCCCGCCGCCACCUCCGGCCUCUCGCAGCGCCGGCGGCGGAGAGGGGCCGAGCGGCUGCGGGGGAGAGGGGGCGAAGGCUACACACCCAGCAGCAGACCGUCCAUGUCAAAGAUGAGGUAACUCACUCUUUGUCAUCAAGAUCAUCGGUUACAGGUCGAGACCCCGGUUGCACAAGCAGACACGACGGCAGCCACCUCAUGCUCCCAAGGUGCCAUGCUGACCUGAAGGCCUGAGCUGAUUUGGGACUCAGUGCCAAAGUGGUGGUGGAAGGGAAACCCUCUCUCUUCCUGUAGAUGAUAGGGGAAAAAAAAUGUGUUGCCAUACAGAACAUGUAUUCCAUCAACCCUCCCGAGCAAGACAUCUAUCACUUGGUUGUCUGUAAUAAGCUGGAACUAUAUGCAUACACCCUUCCAGUGGUCCCUUUCAGUUCUAAGUUCUUAAGUUCAACAUCAUCAAAGGUUGAGGGAGAACAAACAGUGUUUUCUGGAUCGUAAGCUUUCUGAUGCACUACUGAUCUGUCAUGUUCCAGAUUCAGGUUUUAUAUGUGUGUACCCCACUCAGCAUGCAACAAGCGGAAGAGUUGAAUCUCCACAGGUUGUUUUUGUAUUCUGAGUGCACACCCUUAUGAUUUUGUAUCUACACAGAAGAGAAGACAAAAAUGAGCUAGCUGACGCUCAGCCAAUAUUGCCUACAUGUUCAGGGGUAAACAGUCAACCUAGGUAGUACAGGAGAAUGUUGGAGGCCAGCUGUUGUACUAGUACUGUACACAGCAUUUCUUUUUCUGCAAGUGCUUUUACUGGUCUAAGUAUCUAGAUGUAUAUAGACAGAAGCCAUAACACCAUUCUGGAACGUGUGAAGGAGCAACUCUGAUUGAGGAUUGAAAUGGUGGGAAGGGAAGGGGUAGUAUCAAGCAAGUUAGCCAGCUUCUCAAGUUGGUAUUGAAGCUGAGCUAUAUAAAAUAGAUCUUGGCUAGGGGAGUUGGAACUUUUUCUUUUUUAGAUGCAGGAAUUAACAUACAGCCCAACGAAGUCACAAUUCCCUGUUGGGAAUGUCAUUUUUUUCCCUCUGAAGCUACUGCCCUGUCUUCCUCCCUACAUAUGGAAA